GCAGAGUAGGACCUCAUGUGUGCCUGCGGGGCGGAAGCCCUUCAGGGCAGUGCCGGAAAAACGGGGAGUUGUUUUCCGGACGAAACGGUAAGGGCAAAAAGCCGGAACCUGCAGUAUGAGAUCCGCAUCCCGCUGC
rnacentral:ncRNA from 1 species